GAGGCUAUACUUCAGUGGUAGAGUGUGUGUUUAGCAAGCACAAGUCCUGGUUUUAAUUCCCAGUAUCCCUA
rnacentral:tRNA from 1 species